GAGUCAUUGGGACUCUUACAAAACCUAAAGGCGCAAUGAAAGUAAAGGUACGCCUCGCGCGGACCGAGGGAGGAUGGGCCCGUUCACGGGCGGGCCCCGCACUCCCGGGGCGUCUCGUUCUCAUCGCGAGAAGAGGCGCACCACGAGCGUACACGCUGGGACCCGAAAGAUGGUGAACUAUGCCUGGUCAGGACGAAGUCAGGGGAAACCCUGAUGGAGGUCCGUAGCGAUUCUGACGUGCAAAUCGAUCGUCGGAACUGGGUAUAGGGGCGAAAGACUAAUCGAACCUUCUAGUAGCUGGUUCCCUCCGAAGUUUCCCUCAGGAUAGCUGGCGCUCGUCUUUACGAGUCUCAUUCGGUAAAGCGAAUGAUUAGAGGCAUUGGGGUCGAAACGGCCUCAACCUAUUCUCAAACUUUAAAUGGGUGAGAUCUCCGGCUUGCUUAAAGCUUGAAGCCGCGAGACGUAGGAUCACCGAGUGCCAAGUGGGCCACUUUUGGUAAGCAGAACUGGCGCUGUGGGACGAACCAAACGCAGAGUUAAAGCGCCAAAAUCGACGCUUAUGGGAUACCAUUAAAGGCGUUGGUAACUUAAGACAGCAGGACGGUGG
rnacentral:rRNA from 1 species